UACGUAGGGGGGCAAGCGUUGUCCGGAUUUAUUGGGCGUAAAGAGCGUGUAGGCGGCUUUACAGGUCCGUUGUGAAAACUCGAGGCUCAACCUCGAGACGCCGGUGGAAACCGUAAGGCUAGAGUCCGGAAGAGGAGAGUGGAAUUCCUGGUGUAGCGGUGAAAUGCGCAGAUAUCAGGAGGAACACCCGUGGCGAAAGCGGCUCUCUGGGACGGUACUGACGCUGAGACGCGAAAAGCGUGGGGAGCAAACAGG
rnacentral:rRNA from 1 species